GACGAACGCUGGCGGCGUGCCUAAUACAUGCAAGUCGAACGCAGUGGGGACGGGUGAGGAACACGUGGGUAACCUCCCAUCAGAGGGGAUAACACUUGGAAACAGGUGCUAAACCGAUACUGAUGGAUGGACCCGGGGUGGAUUAGCUAGUUGGUGGGGUAAAGGCUCACCAAGGCGACGAUGCAUAGCCGACCUGAGAGGAUGAUCGGCCACACUGGGACUGAGACACGGCCCAGACUCCGACGGGAGGCAGCAGUAGGGAAUCUUCGACAAUGGACGAAAGUCUGACCGAGCAACGCCGCGUGAGUGAAGAAGGUCUUCGGGUCGUAAAGCACUGUUGUUAGAGAGGCGGUAUCUAACCAGAAAGCCACGGCUAACUACGUGCCAGCAGCCGCGGUAAUUC
rnacentral:rRNA from 1 species